rnacentral:rRNA from 1 species
UUCCGGGUUGAUCCUGCCGGAGGCUACUGCUAUCGGGGUUCGAUUAAGCCAUGCGAGUUAAAUGUUCUUCGUGAACAUAGCGAACUGCUCAGUAACACGUGGAUAACCUACCCUUAGGACCGGAAUAACCCCGGGAAACUGGGGAUAAUACCGGAUAAGCCAUAGACGCUGGAAUGCCCUAUGGUUCAAAGCUCCGGCGCCUAAGGAUGGAUCUGCGGUCUAUCAGGUUGUAGUGGGUGUAACGUACCUACUAGCCGACGACGGAUACGGGUUGUGAGAGCAAGAGCCCGGAGAUGGAUUCUGAGACACGAAUCCAGGCCCUACGGGGUGCAGCAGGCGCGAACACUUUACAAUGCGGGAAACCGCGAUAAGGGAACCCCGAGUGCCAGCAUCAAAUGUUGGCUGUCCGGAUGAUUAAAAAUCAUUUGUUAGCAAGGGCCGGGCAAGACCGGUGCCAGCCGCCGCGGUAACACCGGCGGCCCGAGUGGUAGCCGUUUUUAUUGGGUCUAAAGGGUCCGUAGCCGGCCUGAUCAGUCCUUUGGGAAAUCUGGCAGCUUAACUGUCAGGCUUCUAAGGGAUACUGUCAGGCUUGGGACCGGAAGAGGUAAGGGGUACUCCAGGGGUAGGAGUGAAAUCUUGUAAUCCCUGGGGGACCAUCUGUGGCGAAGGCGCCUUACCAGAACGGGUCCGACGGUGAGGGACGAAAGCUAGGGGAGCAAACCGGAUUAGAUACCCGGGUAGUCCUAGCUGUAAACGAUGCUCGCUAGGUGUCAGACACGGUGCGACCGUGUUUGGUGCCGCAGGGAAGCCGUUAAGCGAGCCACCUGGGAAGUACGGUCGCAAGGCUGAAACUUAAAGGAAUUGGCGGGGGAGCACUACAACGGGUGGAGCCUGCGGUUUAAUUGGAUUCAACGCCGGA